GGACGCGUAGCUCAGCGGGAGAGCACUACGUUGACAUCGUAGGGGUCACAGGUUCAAUCCCUGUCGCGCCCACCA
rnacentral:tRNA from 2 species